CAGCAGCCGCGGUAAUACGGAGGGGGCUAGCGUUGUUCGGAAUUACUGGGCGUAAAGCGCACGUAGGCGGCUUGGUAAGUUAGAGGUGAAAGCCUGGGGCUCAACCCCAGAAUUGCCUUUAAGACUGCCGAGCUAGUAGGUGAGAGAGGUAAGUGGAAUUCCGAGUGUAGAGGUGAAAUUCGUAGAUAUUCGGAAGAACACCAGUGGCGAAGGCGGCUUACUGGCUCAUUCUAGACGCUGAGGUGCGAAAGCGUGGGGAGCAAACAGGAUUAGAUACCCCGGUAGUCCCUGUCUCUUAUAC
rnacentral:rRNA from 1 species